rnacentral:pre_miRNA from 1 species
UAUUAGGUUGGUGCAAAAAUAAUCGCGGUUUUUGCCAUUAAAAGUAAUUGCAAAAACCGCGAUUACUUUUGCACCAACCUAGUA